rnacentral:lncRNA from 1 species
UCGUGAAAAAUAGAAUCAAACUAAGUUUUUCAUUUGCAAUUUUUUCUUUGAUAAAAUGAUGAUGAAUCUUCUUGUGCUUCAUCCUUACAUAGAACACUAGAUUUUUUACCAAUUAGAUAAGGUUUCAUUAUCACAAUAAAUGAAAGUAAUAUGAUCAACGUCUGGAUCUAAAUCAUCAAGCAAUCUUAUGAACCAACUCAAUUUUUAAAUUGCCAUUGCAAUGAUAC